ensembl:lncRNA
UGAAAUUCAUGGCACGGGAUGGCUUGGGCCAUCAUCACUGCUGAAGUAACAAGGUCUUUCUUCCUGCACAUCUUUUCUCUUGCUCUCAAUUACACUGUUCACCCUGCACCAAUCUGCACACAUGUCAUGGUUUUGUGAUUUUUGGUUAUUGGUAUUCCACAUCAUAACAUCAUGUAGUGGACAUACCUAGUUCUCAGAAGAGAAGGACUACUACAGUCCCCACGGUACUUUGCUCCUUUGUUACCAUUUUCCAGCCGGAGGGAAAAGAUAGAAGCUCGCAGUAUAAAAACUUGCAGAUCACGAGACCUCGUCCCUUUUUCCGCCGUCUCUCGUCUUGGCAGCACCUCGCUCUCCAGCCGUCUUAUCGUCGGUAGUAGAGUAAGGCCUACCUUGAUUUUGGGACAUUCUCUCUCUCUGUGUUGGAUUUAUCAGCUUAAAUUGUAAUUAUAUUGUAUUAUAGUGUGUUGUUUUGCAUUCCGAUAUCUUAUUUAGUAAAUUAGUUUGUUUCUCCUCAGAUUGUUGCCGCUGUUCUUUGCUCUCAGGGCCAUCUCCCUACCCUUUUCCCCCUUUCCCCUUUUCCCGGGACGUGGGCCCUUGGGUCCCCUGUCCCCUUCGUCACGGAAUCGGGCCUAACGCCCGUAAACCGUUGACAACACAUAAGACCCCUAUCAUCCUUACUUGCCAGAAAAGUGAAUCAGUAGGAAAAAAAGGCCUUUUUCUUGAUUAGAGACAGGAUAGGGCUGCAUGGAGACAGAUAAGAAGAACACCUCUUCUGGAGACCAUAUCUCCAUAGCAAUUUUGUUUACAUCAAUCUCUGGUUUCAUGGGUAGAGUUGAUCUCUGCACUGAGAAUAGGGUCUACACCCAGGGGUACCGAACUACAUGCUUUAAUGUUCUUCUUACUAUUCUGCAUGUAUGGAAUCCAAUGCACAGCAUGAACAAAUGUGAAUCUCAUAUUUGGAGAAGCAUGUACAGAACCACAAGUUCUCCAGCAUGAUUGAAGUCUGAAGUUAAAAGUGGCAAAAGACAGAUGAAAAGUGAUCAGCAAGAACUGCAAAAUCGGAGUCACCUCCUGAACUUCCAUCCCAGAUGAUGUCCCAUACUUCAUCCUGGGUAAGUGCUUCAGGUUGCUCUUACAGCAUGCUUGAUCUCUUUUACCUGUCACUUCCAGUCUGGUGAGGUAUCUCUCCAUCUCCAGCUUGCUUUAGUGAAUAUUUAGGCACUUUCAGGCCUUAAAGUGAGAUUCUUUUGACUUUCAUUAAUAGAACAAUUUUUAUCUUAUUAGUAUUUAGAAGUGAGAAGGAUGUUCUAGGUCAGUAAGUCCAGUUUAGACAUGGCUGAUAUCUGUAUAUAGUAAAACAAUAUGGACUUAAAAAAGCAAACAAUCUUGCUGGUAAAUAUGCAGUGCUAGAUUUGGCUGCUAGAUGUUUUAGUAUCAACUUCUACUAAAUUAGUCAAGGAGAACACUGAAAGUUAAAGAUCUGAGGGAAUGGAGGUUUUAUAACACUGACCUUAACUUCAGUGCAGCAUGAAUAUUGCUUAAUUAAUCAUAGUACUGUCUAUGUUACCCAACAUGUCUUCUGUUCCUCAGUUGUUUUCAUACCUCAGAAUGUAUUUAGUCUACAGUGUUGACAAUUGAAAAUUGCAUUUAAAUAAGAAUAUAAAUUGUUUGGGGGGAGAGAGUUUUUUUUUCUGAUAUUCUUUUGAUUGUGGUUUAUGACUUCUCUAUCUUUAAAGCUGAUUUUAAUAUUUUUCAUUAAAUCUAGUACAUUCUUUCUUCACAAAAGCCCUGCCUCUUCAUUAUAACCAUUUCCAUCAAUGACAAGAUCAGAGAGCAUUUUUAAUGCUAAAAAGGAUAGAAGGGUAGAAAUUAGUACUUA